rnacentral:lncRNA from 1 species
GAGGUGUGAUUGCUCGAGAGAGCUCCUAGCUAAGGUAGUCAUAUUGGUUUGUUUUUUAGAUAGGAAGCUAUAAGAGAGUUCUCUUCUUCAGAUAGGCGAUUAGGUCUUCAGGUCGGCAUGUCGUCAGGUCUCCAGAUCGUCAGGUCUCCAGGUAGUCAGGUUUCAAGGUCAUUAGAUCGUCAACUCUCCAAGUCGGCAGGUCGACAAAGCAACUUGGCAGCUAUGUAGUUUGGUAUUUAAGGGCAUCUCCAACC